UGGGCGGGUCGUGGGUGAGCCAGAACCAGGGAAUUGUGUGGAACGAUGGGCUGUCCACAUCCUGAUUGUGGCGGUAGCGGCACAACUCCAUGCAUCUGUCGAAAAUCACAACACUGUGCACAUCCCCAAAAAGGGAGUGCGUGUGAAUUUUAAAACAAAUCUUAAAGCUAACAUUAUCCCUUUUGCCAUGAGUUACUGUUGGUGAACAGGACUGGGCCCUUAGGUGUGUGUCCUGGUGGCCUGAGCAUCUUACCCCUGAGCAUGGGGCUGGUGGUUCACUUGGCUUGGGUAGUUCUGAAAAUAAAACACACGCAGAGUGUGUUUCCCAUGCCAGGCAGCCAGUGCUGGCUCGUCCUGGCACCCUUCUCUCCUUAGAGACCCAAUGGUUAAAACAGAGGGCAGUUUUUAACCUUGUGGAUGAAACUUGAAAAGAGGAUGCUAAGAGAAAGAAGCCAGACACUAAAGGUCACAUAUGUAUGAUUUCAUUUAUAUGAAAUGUCCAAAACAGGCAAAUCCCCAAGACAGAAAGGAUGUUGGAGUUUGCCAGGGCUGGGGGAGGGGUGAGUGGGCAGUGACCACUGUGGGCACGGGGUUUCUGUUUUGGGGGGAUGAAAACAUUCUGGAACUAGACAGAGUUAACAGUUGCAUAACAUUGUGAACAUACUUAAUGCCAUGAAUUGUGCUCUUUUAAAACAGUCAAUUUUCCGUGUGUCCUACCACAAUUAAAAAAAGAGUUUCAUCUGGAAGGUGAGCUCAACACCGACAGACUGCCCCGGCGCGGCCACAGGGAGAAGUUCGUGAGGCUCUCAGACUGGAGCGGGCGAGCUGCUGCUUCAGUGGCUUCCUCUGCCAAGGAGAGUGGAGCUUAACCCUUGCUCCCUUGAGGCUCCCUGGACUCUGGCUGGGGAUGGGAGACGCACAUAUGCCCCCAGGCUAAGAUGGCCUUGAUCAUCAUAGGCUGACUGGUAGUGAGCUCCUGUCUGCUGAAAUGGAGCGAUCUUUUGGUCAUGUCCAGUGGGCACUGGAUGGAUGGACCAUUGUCGGUACAAAAGCUGACAGCUGGACACACGGACAUCAAGUUCAGCCCCUCCUGUGCGUGCGGAAUCAGGUAGACACGCUGUGACUCCUCUGUAGUCACGUGUCUGUUCUGAAGGUCACCAAGACACCCUCUUCUGUAGCAUCCAGCCAGACCCUGCACUGUCAUUAUCUCCACUGAGAUAAUCAGUCCUCAUCAGCUCACAUCCCUCAGAAGAUUUCAAGUCACCAUCAUAAAGACCCCACAUAGAUGACAGAACUCCAUCUGGCUGGUGAGCAGGGUGAAAAUCUGACAGUGCCGCCAGUAUCUUGUGGGCUCAGUCAGAGCCGAUGUUUGGGUGAGAACUCAUGGCGUCCAAAGAUGGUGGUGCUGCUCUUGGACAGAGCUAUAAAAACCACAUGUGCCAGGUAUCACCCCAGUCCUUCAGCUCUACUUCUGCUUUUGUUAAAAUCCACUCUAGGUUUACCAUUCGGUGGCUGUUGCAUAAAGCAAAUAGUUUAAAAUUAAUGCCAAAACCACAAAAUUACUAACCUGAAAUCCACGCUACCAAUAAGUGGCAAGGACAUGACAAGAAAACUAAAUUACAGAUGAGUAUCUCUUACACACACACACACAUUUAUAAAUCCUUAAAUAUUAGUAGUUCAAAUUCAGCAAUAACUAAAUACCAACUGAAUAAUAACAGAGGGGUAACUCACCAUGACCAAAGUGGAGUUUCUCUCAGGUUUGCAAAGUUGGUUGAAUCUUCACCACAUUAACAGAGCAAAAGAUAAACAUGAUCAUCUCAAUAGAUGCAGAAUGACCAUUUGACAAGAUUACACACCAUUUCCAACGGUGUGAACCCAAGAGUGAGUGCUUCCCUGAACUGUGUGCUCUCAGUGCCUCAGGGGCCCCACUCCCAUCUCGGCCCUGCCAUGCACACCACAGGCGACUAAGCAUGCAGUUAGAGUUCACUAUGAUUAAAUGCUUAAAACAAAAAAAAUCUAAAUUCUUCAGAGAAACAUAACAGAACCCAUGAUAUCUACAAAGUACCAUUUUUGCAAUGUCCAGGAUACAACCCCAAAGUAUAAGACAGACAAUGAGACAAGUUAAUGUGACUCAUACUCAGAAUAAAAGAAAGUCAAUGGAGACUUACUCUGAGAAGACCCUGAUGGUAGAAUUACCAAAGAUUUUAAUAUACAUACUAGAAAUACACACAAGGAUGUAAAUAUAAAAAUGAAUGAGCGAAUGAAAAAGCUUAGCUAAGACUUAGAAACUAAUUUUAGAACUGACAAAUACAUCUGAAAUUAAAACUACAUUAUGUAGGCAUUAAAGCAGAAUGGGCACUGACAGGUCAUUAAUAGGGACAGUCAAUGAUAGAUAAAAAUUAUCCUAUUUGAAGAAAAAGCAGAAAAAAUACUUUAAAAAAAAAAUAUAUGAACAGCCUCAAUGACCAGUGAGCAGGCCGAUAUAAAAGGUAUUACAUAUGUGUACUAGAACCCUAAAAGGAGCAAGACAAUAGCAGAAGAAUUAUUUGAGGAAAUAAUGGCUGAAAUUUUCAUAAAUUUGAUGAAAGACAUAAAUUUACAGAUUCAAGAAGCUCAAUAAGCCCCAUGCAUAAUAAAUACAAAAAGACCCCACAUGUAAACAUAUCAGUUUUCCAAAUUGUAAAUUUUGUAAAAUAGCUCUUAUCAUUUUGAAACAGAACACAGGGAGGACAAAAAGAAGAUUUAUAGCUUCUUUCUAUAUAAGUUGAAUAGCUUAAUGUCAUUUAAAAAUAAGCAAAUAUGAAUGACAGUACAUUUAUGGUACUAAGAUAUGUUAUUCACCUUAGGGUUGGGAAGAAAAUAUUGAUUAAAUCCUGAUACAUUUUGUCCCUUAGCACUUAAAAAACAAUCAUUUUUCAUUUUUGAAAUUUCAGUAAAAUUUUGUUUUGUUAUUAUUCCAGGUAUUUUAAAGUUCAUCUGGAAGAAAAAAUGCUUAAGAACGUUUAAGAUCAGCAGAGCCAUAUACCUGGAAUUUAGUUCUUCAAGCAUUAUUUUAAGUCAGUGGAUAAAUGAUGCAUCAAUUAAUAAAUGGCAUUACAAUGGGCAACUGCAUACUUUUUCAUCCAAACCAGAUUUUUUUUUUUUGAGGAAGAUUAGCUCUGAGCUAACAUCUGCUGCCAAUCCUCCUCUUUUUGCUGAGGAAGACUGGCCCUGAGCUAACAUCUGUGCCCAUCUUCCUCUACUUUAUAUGUGGGACGCCUGCCACAGCAUGGCUUGCCAAGCGGUGCCAUGUCCGCACCUGGGAUCCGAACUGGUGGACCCCGGGCUGCCGAAGCGGAACAUGCACACUUAACUGCUGCACCCCUGGGCUAGCCCCUAAACCAGCACACUUUUAAGAGUGUUAAAGUGCUAGCUCAGAUGAGACACCAGGACAGUGGCGUAAACCAGAACAACAUGGGGCACACCAAGAUCAGGGUCACCCUGUUUAAGUAAUGCUUUAGUAUCUGGUGCAGGAAGAAAACAAGAUCCUUACUUCGUGACACGCUUCAAAAUCACUCUCACUUAGAGUGAACUGUGAAAACAAACCCUUAAAAUAGUACCCAACGAAAAACGCUGGUUUUAAUCAAGAACCAAUAUCAGAAACCAUAAAGAAAAAAGGUUGAUAGAUGAGGCUACAUAAAAACUCAAGGUGUGUGUAUAUAUAUAUAGCGCUAAGUAAAAAUCCUCAGAUUGAAAUAAACACAAAGUGGAAAAAAAUGACAAACGGUGAUUAUAUAAAAAGUUCUUACAAAUAAGAAAAAAGAGAAACUACACCAACAGAAAAAUAGGCAAAGACAUGAAUAAGCAGUUUACAAAAUAAUUAUGUAUGGCCAGCAAAGGUAUUCCAAAAUGUCCAACCUGACGAGAAAUUGGAGAUCUUUUUUCUCCAUCAAAGAUUGUGCACAGGGCCUGGUCCUGGUGACAAUGUGAGGAAACUGGUGUUGGGUGUUUAAGUUGAUAGAAUUGUGGCAGGGGGACCUGUCAAACAGGUACUGAUUGCAAUCAUGCAGACCCUCUGGCCUGGGCACUCCAGAUCUAUGAUCCAAAAGAAACAGUGGGCCAAGUGUGUAAACAUGUAUGCACGAGGAUUUCCAUUUCCAAAAUGUUUAUAAUAGCAAAAAAUACAAAUAAGCAUCUUUGGGCAAUUAAUUAAAGUACUGCCUGAUA